AGGUCACUAGUGUUUAACGGCUAGCACGCCAGACUCCAAAUCUGGAAGUAGGGGUUCGAAUCCUCUGUGGUCUGCCA
rnacentral:tRNA from 1 species